rnacentral:rRNA from 1 species
UACGGAGGGGGCUAGCGUUGUUCGGAAUUACUGGGCGUAAAGCGCGCGUAGGCGGACCUGCAAGUCGGGGGUGAAAGCCCGAGGCUCAACCUCGGAACUGCCUUCGAUACUGGGGGUCUCGAGUCCGGGAGAGGUGAGUGGAAUUCCUAGUGUAGAGGUGAAAUUCGUAGAUAUUAGGAAGAACACCAGUGGCGAAGGCGGCUCACUGGCCCGGUACUGACGCUGAGGCGCGAAAGCGUGGGGAGCAAACAGG